rnacentral:rRNA from 1 species
UGCGAUACUUGGUGUGAAUUGCAGAAUCCCGYGAACCAUCGAGUUUUUGAACGCAAGUUGCGCCCGAGGCCACCCGGUCGAGGGCACGCCUGCCUGGGCGUCACGCCUCGCGUCGCUCCGCCUACCUCGCCCUGAUCACAUCGUGCUCCUGCGGCGGCGUGCGGCGGAUGCGGA